UCUUGAAUCAACCUUUCAUUCACUCUUUCGCUUCUAAAACAACAUAAAAACUUGGACAAAAAGACGGGUCAUUAGAGUUUAGCAUUCUAAUGGAACUUUUUGAAUUAUCUCUUGAAAGUUCAUUGUCCAUCCAACAAUUUCAACUUUAAAUAUUUUUUGUAACCAAGUCAAACUAUCUCAAAUCAUUUAUGUGAAUCCAUCCUCGAUCAUAUAUUGAAAGAUAUUUCUUAAAUCAAAUACAAUAUCCAAACCUUUUUCUAAAUAAACUCGAAAGAAAAGGACCGUUGGGAUCAAGCAUUCUGGCGUAAUCUUUGAACAAUUGAUUAUCAUCAAACGUUCACUAUCCAUUAAAUAUUUUUCUUAAAUAAUUCGAAUGAAAAAAGGGCCAUUGGAAUCUAGCAUUCCAAUGAAACCCUGGAUUUUUGAUCCGAGGCUCAUGUCUCGUUCUCAUCAAUAUUCGUUUUCAAAACUCAAGAAUACUUAAUUCCUACCUUAACACUUUUUCAAUAAGGAUGGAAAUGGAACAUGGUGUAUACCGUGCACUCCUGAGAUUAAGAUUCAAGGUGGAUGCCUUGCUUAUCUUAACUCUCGCCAUCGUCUAAAAUUGUCAAUGCGGUUUCUUCAAACCCUUUCUCAAUCAAAUUCAAAAACACCUAAUUCUUAUUAAAUACUUUUGCAAAUAAGAUGGAAAUGGAACAUGGUGUAUACCGUGCACUCCUGAGACUAGGAUUCGAGAUGGAUAUCUCACUUAUCCAAGUUCUCGCCAUCACUCAAAAUACAUCCAACCAAUCAAACUCUUUCUCGCCUCUGUGCGAUUAAUCAAAAACCCUUUUCAAAAACGAAAGAUAUAUUGUCUUAAGGUGAUGUAAAACAAUGUUUCGACCACGAUUGUUGAGUCGAGAUAAAUGACGCUUUUCCGAAUGUAGAUUUAUAAAUACGUUCGAUGUGUGGUAUGCGUCCACUCCUCAUCUGUUUUGGGUAAAACAAUGUUUUCAUCGAUUAAUACAGUAUAGCUUUCGCUCAAAUCGACCAACAAACAAACAUUUUUCUACCCAGAACUACGUAAGCCUUGAUUUCUCGAUUGAGAUACGUAGGAGCAGGAUUUAUAAAUCUUGUCAGGUCCACUAAUAAAAUAACUUAGGUUUAGUCCUUCGUCGAAAAAUCCAAAAACAUUUAUCCCCUCUUCUAUCUUUUCUUUCCCUCAUUAUAACUUGAGAAGGCUAACGAAAGCUAACAUUCAAAACACGAAACUAACUAAACGGUUCCCGUUGAAUACAACGGACGUGAGGGGUGCUAAUACCUUCCCCUUGCGUAACCGACUCCCGAACCCUGAUAUUGGUUGCGACGACCAUAUCUUAUCCUUUCUUUUAAGGGGUUUUAUCGAUAUUUUCCCUUUCCCAUUUUGGGAAUAAAUAAAGUUCGAUGGAGACUCUGUUCAGUCCAUCAUUGCGAGCGUGCGAUUGUGCUUCGCUUAAAGUCGUAUCCCCAUUUUUUGAGGUGCGACAGUACCCAUAUGUCCUUAGAGAAGAGAUAGAGCCUCCCUUGUUGUAACAUUCUCUUAUUCAAAAUCAGACAUAAUUCUUUGUUUGCGGGAUCUAGUGAAGUACAGGUGAGUCGUCGUCUUUCUGAAGAGGAUGAUGACGGAUGUAAGCAUUUUGAACUUUGGAUAGAAAAAUGCAUAUGAAUGAAUGUGAUGCUUGUUUAUGUAAAAAUAUCUUUGAUUAUUAUUUUCCAAGGAAUUCUCGAGUCUGUAUUUGUCACAAGCAAUCAUAAAGCAUAGGAAAUAAAGGCGCAAGAUAAAAUUGAUACUAAAUAAAACCCUUUUAUAUACAUGAAACAAAGAGUACAAAUUAUUACAACUUUUCCCUAAGCUACAUCAAGUGUGGUAAACAAGAUAAUAAUGGAACCCCUCAAAUAUAACUAAGCAUCCGCUAAAAUCGGGUCAACCACCACUCGUAUCCUUGAAGGCAUAAACUGAGUUGGCCUACUCAAAAGGUCUUGUAGCACCUCCUCCUUCUGAUCCAAAAGUACUUGAAAAUGAUGAUUGCUCCUUUCCUAAUGCGUAGCUUAUUGCUGAAGUUGAUUCAUAUUCUCUCUACUUUGAUGCAUUUGAUCCUUCAACCCUCGAAUCUCUUUAAACCACUUAUCAAAUUAUGUCCGGUGUUGAGAUAAAGAAACCUCCAACUGCUUAGUACGGAUUCUUUCUUCUUUUAACUCCUUCUUGCAACCCUAAUUGUUCUUGAAGCUUCUUAAGCUGGUCUUGGAAACUUAUCUCCAUCUUUCAUGCUCGAUAUUGGGCAUCAGUGAGCUGUUUCUUCUUGAUGAACAAACUGCCAAUAGUCCCCUUUAAAGCAUCACCUACUUUCCUCCUCUUGAACUGCUCCUCUUGGGCUUCUUCCAUUGCUUGGGAGUAGUCAUGGCUCUCUUCUGGUUGAGGUUAAGCUCCAAGUCUUCUUUCUCUCUUGUAAGCCUAUCAAGAUUAGAUCGGAGAUUGAAAUUCUAUUUCUCUAAGCUCUUGGUAGUUUCCUUGAGUUUUCCAACCUCAGAGGUAGGAAUAAAUCUAAUCACAGGCUACAGGAUGCUCAUAGAUGGCUCAAACGGGAACGAUAACAUAAUUUCUUCAAACCUGUCCUUGAUCCACUAUGUAUAAGCUUCAUUGGCAAUACAAUUCUUCUUCCCUAACUCAGAUCUUCCUUGAGGACAGACUUCUCUCCAAGCUCUGACGAUCUUCCUUAGCAAUUGUGGAUUGUCAACCCCUUCAUACAAAACAAACUCGUCCACAUGCUCAGAAUAUGGCUUGCGCAAUAACAGAUAAUCCAAAAGCUAAUCUUGAAUUGUAGUUGAUUCAACUUUUUGUACCUAUGAUGGGCAUAUUGGGGAAACUUCCACAAUUCAGGAUAACCUUAACAUCAUCGUAGACUCUAGAAUACCAUAGAAUAUCAUAAAUGAUCAGAGACAUAAUCUUUUGAGACCACUUGAGAUUGUCCUUGUUCUCGAUGAAAGAACCUUUGUUGGGUAGGUGCGAAAUAAACCACUUAUACAAUAGAGGAACACAACACACAAUAUUACCCUUCUUCUUCUGAGUCCUCGUAUGAAUAGAGUAAUAAGUGUCAGCAAGAAGUGUAGGAACCAGAUUUUUGGAUAGGAAUAUGUGACCAUCUGCUAGAUCUACAAAGUCUUCCAUACUAGGAAACAACAUUAUCCCAUAUAUAAGCAACACGAAAACAAUAUUGAAAGCUAUUUGAAGCUAGCGGAAAUAUACCUGAAUGCAUCGCAUGUUCGAACAUAUAACAGAGUCACCAUCGAACUUUAUUUAUUCCCGAAGGAAAGGGAAAACAUUGAUAAAACCCGAGGAAAGAGAAAACAGGUAAGGAAGUCGGUUAUGCAAGGGGAAGAUAUGAGCAUCCCUCACAUCAAUUUAAUUUAACGGGAACCAUUUUGAUUGUUCUUGCUUGAAUGAGUGUUAUAUCUAAGGAUUACUCGCAAAAGAAUAAUGGGAAAAAUAAAAUAAUAGAUAGAGUGCUCUGAGAGGAUUAAAGCCCUCAUGCCUACGUAUCCUUAUAAUGCAAGAAGGAAGUCAGAGCUCUGUAGCUCAUAGAACUAAUGGUGGGAAGUGAAAAGAAUGGUGCUAACAAAUAUGGUUUGAAAUAAAGGAUUAAGUUCUUUGACUCCAAAAAGGGAUGAAAUCUGAACCCAAGAGUAAAACUGGAAUUAACCAAUAUGUGGGGAGCCUAAAGCAUUAGCCACUAUAUGGUACGACCGAAAACAAAGGGAAUUAAAUGUUUGGCAUCAAGGUAAACAUCUCUCGGUUCACAGGCAAACACUGAAUGGAGCUUAAAGAAAUAGUGUAUUUGGCUUAAAGAGAGAGGUAUAUCACAUGAAGUGAAUGAAGGUAGUAGGUAUUGAAUGAAGAUAGUGAAUGAUGGUCCAUGGAUAUGAAUGGAGUGAUAGAAAAGUAACCAAAGUCAAAGAAAUGAAGUAUUUGGUGAAGGUGACUGAUGCAAUAUAAUUUGGAACCAAAGGUAAGGGUGUACUUGGAAUCCACAACAAAAAUGGUAUUUGAACCACAUAGUAAAGGUGGUAUAGACUAAGAUGUGGAGGGCCAUAAGCAUCAUACCACUGUAUUGUCAUAACCAAAAAUAAGGGAAUUAGGUGUUUGGCAUCAAGGCAAACAUCUCUUGGUACAAAGGUGGACAAUUAUCCUAAAAGGGUAUAUAUGGAACUCCAAAAGAAAAUGGUAUUUGGUUUUAAAGAAAGACACUAUGUCACUGAGGUGAAUGGCUAUGAUUGAAGAUAUAUGAUAUGGAUCAUGAAAGACAUGAGUGGUGCCCUAAGGAUAGAGGAAGAUGAAUAAAUAGGAAUAUGCUCAACAAGGAUUCGUAUCCUUGUGCCUACGUAUUCUCAUCGUGCAAUGAAAAAGUCAGAGCUACGUAGUUCAUGGAACUACGAAAACAAAGAAAGACAUUUGAGGUGAUGAAGAGUAUAACUUACACCAAUAUAAUGGUAGCAUAGGAGACCAUAAAGGUAAGUGAACUCUAAACCGAAGAGUAAAGGAGGUACAAACUAAGAUGUGAGGGGGCCAUAGGCAUCAUACCACUGUAUUGUCAUGACCAGAAACAAGGAUAUUAGGUGUUUGGCAUCAAUAAAAACAUCUUUUGGUUCACAAGGUGGACAAUUUUCCUAAAAAGUAUGGAACCCAAAGAAGAAUCAUGAUUUGUACAAGGAACAAGUAUAUCACUGUAGGGAGCAACCAAUUUGAAUCCAUGAAGGAAGUAAAAUAUGAAUCGAAGAGUAAAUGAAGUAUAUACUAAGAUGUGGGGGAGCAUAGGCAUCAUACCACUGUAUUGUCAUAACCAAAAAACAAGGAAUUAAGUGUUUGACAUCAAGGCAAACAUCUCUUGGUUCACAAGGUGGACAAUUGUCCUAAAUGGGUAUGCAUGAAAUCCAAAGGAAAAUGUAUUUGAUUUCAAAAAAUAUGGUAUUGAUUGAUGAAGAAUAAUAAAUAAGGUAGUAUUAAUAAAUAGGGUAGCUCGUAGAAAAUCUGAAUUCUCGUGCCUACGUAUUCUCACUAUGCAAUGAGAAAGUCAGAGCUCUAUAGUUCGGCUCACUACGACCGGAACAAAGACAGCAAGAGACUGAGGCAAGGGAAAUGAUAUAUGAUAAUUAAAGAUGAAGAAGACUUGAUCGACAUUGGAUAUGAACCACACUAAAGUCUAUGAGUAAAGGUGAAUACGAUGAGAAACUGGGUCAUUCGUCCUGUACUCAAAGAUAUUCAGAAUGAGUUAAUAGAAUUCUCCACUCGCAUUCAUUAUUUACUACUUAAGACUCGUGGUAUGUGAUUCUCAUCAUAACUUUCAAGUUGCUGAAGAAGAAUCCUUGCUGCUCCUCAUGAUGAUGAAGACUUGUCAAUCAUUUGAUUUUAAUUGGACUAAAGUCUAUGAACAAAGGUGAAUACCUUUAACAACUGGGUCAUUCAUCCCGUACCUAAGGAUACCCUAGGCAAGGAUAUGAAUGCUCCACUCUCAUCAUGAUUUGUUACUUAAGGCUCAUGGCAUACAACUUGAAUCAUGAUUGAUAAGUUGUUGAUGGAGACUUCUGAUUGUUGCACUGUUGCUUGUGAGGAGAGACUUGACAAUCAUGUGAUUUGAAUUGUGAUAAAGUAUAUGAAUAGAGGUGAAUAUGAUGAGCAACUGGGUCAUUCAGAACAAGUUAAUGGAGUUCUCCACUCUCAUUCAUUCUUUAUUUCUUAAGGCUCGUGUCGCACAAUCUGAAUCUUGAUUGACAAAUUCUUAAAGAAACACCUUUUAUAUAUCUUACAUAAUCCACUGCUUUAUUUUUCUGGGAUGCCUUGAUUGAAAGUUUGAACUUAAGGCCUUGAGAUACACAACAUUACAGGAAUUAGUCCUAUCAAUUGAUCAAUGGACUUUUGAUCACUUGAAUAGAAUGUGGGAUUAUAUACAAAUCAAAGGAUUUAGUUAAUCAAAAUUUCUUUUGAUAAACUUAAAUCAAAGGGAUUAGAUUAAAGGUUAAUUAUGUACAACCUAAUCUGAAAAGGGUGCAUCCAACAUAUCCAGGGUACAAAGAAGGAAACAAGUUUGGCCUUGAGCUGCUUGCCCGUUGCAAACAUGCCAUGUGAUGAGAAGGGUGCAGAAGCAGAAUAGGGUGUCAAGUAUAAAUGAAUUGGGCCUGGGAGCCCAAGUCCAUCCACAAAGACUCUCACAAGCAAACAAACUGAAGCCCUCGAUGAACUUCAGACCUUCUUCACCCUCAGACCAACCUCCUCCCUGGCGAUUUCUGGCCAUCGCCUCCGUCGUGGCGAAAAUUGCUUCUGGCGGCAGAGGCAAUCCAAACACCAUGUACCAUACACAAAAUGAACUACAUCUUUAUCCUCUUUCUAAGCCCUAAACUCAAAUCCUUCAAUUUGACUUCCAUUAGCUUGAAUCAAAAAUUCCAACAACGAACCCUAAUUCUUGAAUUCAUCCGUUAUGUGCAAAAGAGAGGAAAAUGGAGAUGAAGCAAACGAGGUUCCAACUUUAGAGGCUAUGGAAUACAACUUAUCAUCUAAGAAAUGCAAAAAGGAAGCUACUACAUAUCUGCACCUGAGGUUUCCAGCAAUGUUGAUGGCGAUAAAAUACCAGAGCCAAUACCAGGUACUUAUGAUUCUUCAACCUUGCAAUUCUUCUUCUACUCUACCUCUUAGUCUGUAGGAAAAAAAUCAUUAUGUGAUGAGAGGAGAAACGAGUCUGAGAGUGAAAAAGAGAGGCUUAAGCUCCACCAAUUGAAGCUUCAAUGUGAAGCUUCAAUGGCAUGUUCUUUGGAAGUGCUUUGGCGAGGGUUGAUUCUAAAGGAGAGAGAGAAUCUUAUAUCGAUUAUUUAUGUGAAUUCUGAGAGUGAAAAUGUCGAGCUCCAACUGAACUAUGAUGAGAGCUCUUAUAGAGUCCAUUUCUAUUACAAAUUCAUCUGAAAUUUAAGUUAAAUGUAAAUUGAAAUUGAGAAGUUAGUUGUGAAAUGCAUUAGUUAGUUAACUGAUUUAUAAAUGAAAUUGGAGCCAAUUUGGACUGUGAAUUUGAAGUUGAAUUUAGAGUUAAUGUUUAAAAUGGACUUGUUGGAAAUUUAGUCUGAAUUUGGAGUUGAUUUGGAAUGAGAUUGUUAGACUAUGACCAGUUAGUUGAAUUCUGAUUUAAUUGUCCUUGCAAUCAUUCUGCAGAAUUGCAACUCAAUAUAUCAGUGGAAAAACAAAGUUGUUAAGGGUUGCAUUCCUGCUGGUGGAUGGAUUUCUGUUGAAUUUUUUCAGGUUUAUUGUUACUUGUCUUGCCUUGGCUUGAUCAUUGAUGUUAGAUUGGUGAUGCAGAAUGCUAUUGGCUGCAACAUGGCCUUGUUUUGUUAGAUGGGCUUGCUAAAUCUAGGUUCAUGGCAUGAUGGCAUUGAAGAUAAUGUGCAAAUGUCCAAAUCAAAAUCAAGAUGGAAUUGGAAAAUGAGAUUAGAACUAGGAUUGGAGAUCUAGGGGCUUAGGAUGGAAAAGAAUCUGAGUUGACUUUGGUCAAAGUUAACAAAAAUGUCAACUGUUGACCAAACUCAACAUUUGGUCAACAUGUAUUAUUUGGCAUUUUGUAUGUAAUGAACAAAUUAUGGACAAUAAUUAAUAGAAUUGUUUAUUUGAAUGAAAA